CAUUCGGGACCGGCUUCUUUAUGCGGAGCCAAAUGUUAAGGAGCAUUCUGUUCGGAGCCGGCAUUAGGGUCAGUCGAGAAUUAGAGUCGUCGUAGAAUUAGAUCUAGUCUCGCGAGCGAUUAACCAGUAUUAAGUGUAUUUUGCAAAUUGCAAUAAAGACCAUCAUUUAUAUUGUUAAACCAGUGAUAUAUUCGAACUCCUGAUCUACAUUAUAGUACAGUCGGUGUUAAUCCAAUCGGAGCACGUGGAUUUAAUUAAAACGGUUAACGAAUAUUUUGAUACAGUGCACGCGGUGCUCUGACCGUUACAAUUAUAUUAGGAACUAGACGGAUAUUUGUCCAGUCGUCGAGUCGUUUAAUUGGAGAACAUUUAGUAGCCACCAUAUCGUUAACACGUGUAACCUUAAGCUGAAGAUAUUACACUUUAAAAAUAAAAAAGUAUAACGUUCAGUAAAGUAAACAUACCGGUUAUAAUAUCUAUAUUCUCACGUGGUAACGUUCAAUUAGGAAGACAAAAAUGUCUGUUUCGUAUAAUUUGCCAAACGAGAUAUUAGAAAAAAUUUUCAAUUUCUGUGAUGUUUAUACUUUAUCACAGAUUAGUAUGGUAUGCAUACAAUUUAAUAAUGUGGCAAAAUAUAUACUAAUAAAAAAAAGUGAACAUUUGCUUGUCACGAAUCAGAAAUCGGAAAAAUUUUGUGAACGAUGUAAACCACUAUUAUCUUCAGAUAUAAAUUCUAAAUUUAUUACAAGUUACAACUGGAUACAUAAAAAUGUAAAAGGAGACGAAUAUAUAAAAUGGAGGAAAUAAAUAUAGAGCAAGAACAUUCCUAUUUGUAUAGAUUUCAGUUCAAAAAUCGAAGCGUACAAAUGACUAGAAAUAUGGUUUGGUCAUUUUGUGAGGGUGAUCUUCUUGCUUUUAAACGCGCAAAGAACGGUACAAUUAAAAAGGGUAAAAAUAUUUUGAAAACUGACAAGGCUUUUAUUGAAACUUAUACUCAUUGCGGUAAUUAUAUUAUAAGUGGCGACAGAGAAGGUAUUAUUAACCGCUGGGAAAUUAAAGAUAAUCAAAAGGAUUUUUUACGUAAACCUUUAAAAAUACAUAAUGUGCAUUUUAAAAUUCAACGAAUAAACGCAACAUCGCAACACAUUAUAACUGGUUCUAAAAAUUUA